rnacentral:rRNA from 1 species
CUACGGGUUGCUGCAGUGGGGGAUAUUGCACAAUGGGCGAAAGCCUGAUGCAGCAACGCCGCGUGAAGGAAGACGGUUUUCGGAUUGUAAACUUCUAUCAGCAGGGAAGAAAAUGACUGUACCUGACUAAGAAGCCCCGGCUAACUACGUGCCAGCAGCCGCGGUAAUACGUAGGGGGCAAGCGUUAUCCGGAUUUACUGGGUGUAAAGGGUACGUAGGCGGUUUAUUAAGUCAGAUGUGAAAGCCCGGGGCUCAACCCCGGGACUGCAUUUGAAACUGGUGAACUAGAGUACAGGAGAGGUAAGUUGAAUUCCUAGUGUAGCGGUGAAAUGCGUAGAUAUUAGGAAGAACACCAGUGGCGAAGGCGGCUUACUGGACUGUAACUGACGCUGAGGUACGAAAGCGUGGGGAGCGAACAGGAUUAAAUACCCUCGUAGUC